rnacentral:rRNA from 1 species
GAUGAACGCUGGCUACAGGCUUAACACAUGCAAGUCGAGGGGAAACGACGGGGAAGCUUGCUUCCCCGGGCGUCGACCGGCGCACGGGUGAGUAACGCGUAUCCAACCUGCCUCUGACUGAGGGAUAACCCGUCGAAAGUCGGCCUAAUACCUCAUGGCAUCGUCUGCGGGCAUCCAACGACGAUUAAAGAUUUCAUCGGUCAGGGAUGGGGAUGCGUCUGAUUAGCUAGUUGGCGGGGUAACGGCCCACCAAGGCGACGAUCAGUAGGGGUUCUGAGAGGAAGGUCCCCCACAUUGGAACUGAGACACGGUCCAAACUCCUACGGGAGGCAGCAGUGAGGAAUAUUGGUCAAUGGGCGAGAGCCUGAACCAGCCAAGUAGCGUGCAGGAUGACGGCCCUAUGGGUUGUAAACUGCUUUUAUGCGGGGAGAAAGUGAGGGACGUGUCCUUCAUUGCAGGUACCGCAUGAAUAAGGACCGGCUAAUUCCGUG